CCCAUCCAGGAUUGGGAAAGCCUGAUUCCUAGCUGGAAAAAAGGACUGGCUGAGGGAGAAAGAAACCUGACACCAAAGGACUUUGAAAUCCUGGUCAUUGAAAUGGACUAUGGCAUGGACGACAAGGACCCUAUCCAACAUGUUCAUUUCUACAGCAAAUCUGAGCUUGACAAUCAAAGCUAAUGCCCGAAGAAAAGCUGGUUGCGCUGUGUUCACGGAGACAUGGCUGAAUGAACUCACUCCGGACACGCUCGUAACUUUGGACGGCUUCCAACUCGUCAGAGCGGACCGGAGCGCGAGGGAGAGCGGUAAGAAGAAAGGCGGGGGAAUAGCGAUGUAUGUGAAUGAGAGGUGGUGUAACUCUGGGCACAUCACCGUUAAAGAACAGCGCUGCACUAAGGAUGUGGAGCUGCUGGCUGUAAGCAUUCGGCCAUAUUACCUGCCGAGGGAGUUUUCACACGUCAUCGCGGUGACUGUUUACAUCCCCCCCCUCGGCAGACGCUGCUGCAGCCUGUGAACUCAUCCACAGUGUAGUGUCUCAGCUACAGACAUCACACCCCCAGUCUCUUACUCUCAUCUCAGGAGACUUUAACCACGUUUCCCUGUCUGCCACUCUCCCUACUUUCACUCAGUAUGUUGACUGCCAUACUAGGGACAAUAAAACUUUGGACUUACUG